rnacentral:rRNA from 1 species
GUCUACGGCUAUGUUACCCUGAACACACCCGAUCCCGUCUGAUCUCAGAAACUAAGCAGGGUCGGGCCUGGUUAGUAGCUGGAUGGGAGACCACCUAGGAAGACCAGGUGCUAUAGGUG